rnacentral:rRNA from 1 species
GAUGAACGCUGGCGGCGUGCCUAAUACAUGCAAGUCGAGCGAAUGGAUUAAGAGCUUGCUCUUAUGAAGUUAGCGGCGGACGGGUGAGUAACACGUGGGUAACCUGCCCAUAAGACUGGGAUAACUCCGGGAAACCGGGGCUAAUACCGGAUAAUAUUUUGAACUGCAUGGUUCAAAAUUGAAAGGCGGCUUCGGCUGUCACUUAUGGAUGGACCCGCGUCGCAUUACCUAGUUGGUGAGGUAACGGCUCACCAAGGCAACGAGGCGUAGCCGACCUGAGAUGGUGAUCGUCAACACUAGGACUGAAACCCGGACCAGCCUCCCACGGGGGGCGGCAGUAGGGAAUCUUCCUCAAUCGACGAAAGUCUGACGGAGCCACGCAGCGUGAGUGAUGAAGGCUUUCGGUUCGUAAAACUCUGUUGUUAGGGAAGAACAAGUGCUAGUUGAAUAAGCUGGCACCUUGACGGUACCUAACCAGAAAGCCACGGCUAACUACGUGCCAGCAGCCGCAGUAA